AUGUACAUUCCUAUAGCAUAGCAUUAAUGCAUCGAAUCCCAUUAGAACUCCGCAGUUAAGCACACUCGAGCUAGAGUAGUACUGGGAUGGGUAACUACUCGAGAAGUCCUAGUAUUUUACAUG
rfam:Picea glauca, whole genome shotgun sequence.